UUUGUGAGUCCGCCGCGCCGAAGGCCUCACGCCUCCCGCAGACUGAGUUCAGCGACCGCUUCGCCCUCGGCCUGGGUGGGCGCGUUCGGUUCUCCCCGCCGAGCUGAGAUUCUUUAAUGCUUACAGAGAUGUGCUUCUCAUGGUGUUAUCUCAAUUUCUGAGGAGAUAGAUCAGUCCCAAGGAGCAUCAACAGCCCCUGCACAGGCUGAAACUCCAAGACUAGAUCAUGAUAAGUUUCGAAGAGUUCUACACAGCAGCUCAGGAACCCAUUCCUUCAGGAAUUCCUACCUGGUUUGACCCAGAAGGCAGGGGGCGCUGAUGACAUCCUCACAGGUUUUCCUGGAUCUCACACCACGGAAAAACACAGAAGAAAGAGGAACAAUACUCGGGCAAGAAUCUAAGGAAAUUCUUAACAAACUAGGUUUUCAUGUGAAGGAAAUGGGGUUUGAAAACUGGCAAUGGUAACUUU